GUUGCGGUUAAAAAGCUCGUAGUUGGAUUUCUGUCGAGGGCGGCCGGUCCGCACUAUGUGCGAGUAUCUGGUUCGGUCUUGGCAUCCUCUUGGGGAACAUUCCUGUGCUUGAUUGCAUGGGGUGGAAUUCAAGACAUUUACUUUGAGGAAAUUAGAGUGUUCACGGCAAGCUUUGGCUUUGAAUACAUUAGCAUGGAAUAAUAAUAUAGGGCGUAAGUUCUAUUUUGUUGGUUUCUAGGACAUACGCAAUGAUUAAUAGGGACAAUUGGGGGCAUUCGUAUUAACGCGUCAGAGGUGGAAUUCUUAGAUUGCGUUACGACAAACUACUGCGAAAGCAUUUGCCAAGGAUGUUUUCAUUGAUCAAGAACGAAAGUAUGGGGAUCGAAGACGAUUAGAUACCGUCGUAGUCUAUACCAUAAACUAUGCCAAUUAGAGAUUGGUGGUCGUUCUUUUUAUGACUCCUUCAGCACCUUAUGAGAAAUCAAAAUUUUUGGGUUCCGGGGGGAGUAUGGUCGCAAGGCUGAAACUUAAAGGAAUUGACGGAAGGGCACCACCAGGAGUGGAGCCUGCGGCUUAAUUUGACUCAACACGGGAAAACUUACCAGGUCCAGACAUAGUAAGGAUUGACA
rnacentral:rRNA from 1 species